rnacentral:tRNA from 1 species
GCCUGGGUGGCUCAGUCGGUUGAGCAUCCGACUUCGGCUCGGGUCAUGAUCUCACGGCUCGUGGGUUCGAGCCCCGCCUCGGGCU